rnacentral:rRNA from 1 species
UACGAAGGGUGCAAGCGUUACUCGGAAUUACUGGGCGUAAAGCGUGCGUAGGUGGUUUGUUAAGUCUGUUGUGAAAGCCCCGGGCCCAACCUGGGAAUGGCAAUGGAUACUGGCAGGCUAGAGUGCGGUAGAGGGUAGUGGAAUUCCCGGUGUAGCGGUGAAAUGCGUAGAGAUCGGGAGGAACACCAGUGGCGAAGGCGGCUUGCCAGAACGCGCUCGACGGUGAGGGAUGAAAGCUGGGGGAGCAAACCGG